rnacentral:lncRNA from 1 species
UUAAAAGCAGGCUCAACUCAACGUUCUGUCAUUUUUGCACAUCGAAAACAGAAGAGCAAGGUUUAAAUGAAAUCAGUAGCGCGUCAAAAAAGAUAAUGGGCCAAUGCUAAAGGCCCAAUUGCAAGAUUCAACACUAAAUCACGCACAAAAACUUAGAAUCUUACACAAUCCAUUAAAUGCCAAUCAACUAAAACUAUAUGGAAUACAUGAUUAAACUAACAUUUUUCUUAUUUGAUUAUUUAAAUGUAGAGCAACUAAAACUGCAUUUCUAAUUAAGUAUGCACUUUGGGCCUACGUCUGCCUUAGACUCACAAGGCCAUAUCACAAGGAAAAUAACAUUAGGCCCAAAAGAUCCCAAACCAUAUUUCAAGGUCAAUUGCUGGAGCUUUAGGACUCAAGAUCGAGUCUCCUCAAAAGCAAAUAACAUAUGUCCAAACCUUUCCUUCAUAGAAAUAAACCAGGCUUCAAAUUACAAGGUUUAAAACCUCAUUUCACAAGAUAUCAAACAUUACACUGAUUGAUGCCAAAAUUUAAACAAAACUAAUAGGCAAAUCUAUUAUCCUCAACAUGAGUUUAUGAUCACACAUCACGGGACAACCAAUUCUGAGCAAAACAAACACAUCAAAAUGCUUUUAAAUAACAGACUACACAUCAUCUGCUUCGUCACUAACCUAGACUUGUCAUGAUAACUGGUUCUACAUGAGAUUAUUACCAAGCAAUAUAAAACUGAACAACAUGCUUUUUGACUAAGUCUUUUAUCCACAUCAUCUUAACAGUCCCAAAUUAAAUACAAGGAAUAAAUUCCACCAGCUAAACUAGAAAGUAAUUAAGAAGACAAUGAACUAAAGCUAUAAAACGCCACAUAACAAAAAGAUAGAGCUGAAUUCAUAAAAGAAACUGAUAACAUGUUUUGAACUCUAGUUUUCCAUUUUAUUCUUAAAUUCAAGCUUCACAUGAGGUAGAACUAGAGAUCAUGUACCUUAUUACAGCAAAUGGAACAAAUAAAAUGAGCUGAAAAGUGAAACAGCAGGAGUAGAAGCAGCAAUGAAACAGUAACCAGCAACAGCAAAGCUCAAAAACAAACAAUUUCUUCAAAUAGGUGCAGAAAUUCGAAGUUUCAAAAGUUCUGAUUAACAUAUUAAAACUGAAAAGAAUUUCAAGUAGUUUUUCAACCAAGAAAUGCAGAAAAAUUAAGCGUUCUUCUCAAAUUUAGCCGCUAAGUUUUUUAGGAAUUUUUUUUUCUCUAAUUUUUCUGACUUUAGUCUCAAAUAAUGAUGCCUUUAUAGGAAAGCUACUAGUGCAGCUUAAAAGUAUCAGGUGGAAUUUUGUUUUAGCUUAGAUACCCUUAGUGUAAAAUUCAGAACUUCAGUGUCCCUACCCCAACUUCCUAGAAGCUUCCUCAAUUAGUUAUUCAGAGAUUCCUCUACCUAGAGUUCCUAAAUUACCCUUACAACCCCUUUUAUUUACCCUUCAAUUAACUUGGGAUAUCCAAAUAAACCAGUCUCUUAAUCGAGGUCAGUGGUGACCAUGGUUACUAUGAGGGACUUGAAUACUCAGAAAUGAUUAAAUGAAACCAUAGUAAAGAACAAAUCCAACACUAGAGGGCAAACUCCAAUAAUCCUGAAUUUAGGCGUAAACUAACUUUAGCUAAUCACAACCAAGAAUUGAACUUGGCUGUUAAAGCUAAUCAGUCAAAUCAAAGCAAAACAAGAAAUAAACAAAUAAAACUAAACCAAAUGAAAAAUAGAAAAAUACUACAGUGCAUAAAAUUGAUGAGAGAAAGAAGAGAGGGGGGGAUACCAAGCAUGUUGGAAUGCCUUGUCGACAUGAGGCGUGUUGAUUGGGAGUGAACAAUUGGCUUGGAACUUUGAUGAACUUGUCAAACUCUGACAUCCCCGGAAUGAGUUAAAAUCAAUGUUGAUUAAUUUUUCUUGUUAAGAAUAAUCAAACAGCAUAAAUUAUAAUUCAAAAGGAGACCAGGCCUUGAAUGGAAUCACAAGAAAAAAAGAUUAUGGAUCGAAUUUUCUCAGAUUUGGGACAUGGAAGGUCUUGUUGGGGUUUUCAAGAAAUAAGCAUGUGGAUAAGCUUUGGGACGGUCUUGGCUUUACUUGGUAUUUGUAAUUAGAUAUAAUAAAUGUAAUUAUGUCAAACUUAAAACAGUGAGG